rnacentral:rRNA from 1 species
UGGGGAAUCUUGCACAAUGGGCGCAAGCCUGAUGCAGCCAUGCCGCGUGUAUGAAGAAGGCCUUCGGGUUGUAAAGUACUUUCAGCGGGGAGGAGGGGAGUAAAGUUAAUACCUUUGCUCAUUGAUGUUACCCGCAGAAGAAGCACCGGCUAACUCCGUGCCAGCAGCCGCGGUAAUACGGAGGGUGCAAGCGUUAAUCGGAAUUACUGGGCGUAAAGCGCACGCAGGCGGUUUGGUAAGUCAGAUGUGAAAUCCCCGGGCUCAACCUGGGAACUGCAUCUGAGACUGGUCAGCUAGAGUCUUGUAGAGGGGGGUAGAAUUCCAGGUGUAGCGGUGAAAUGCGUAGAGAUCUGGAGGAAUACAGGUGGCGAAGGCGGCCCCCUGGACGAAGACUGACGAUCAGGUGCGAAAGCGUGGGGAGCAAACAGG